GUUAAUUCUAACGGGUCUCGAUCUGCCCCAUGAGUAUUAAAUGGCCGCAGUAUUUUGACUGUGCGAAGGUAGCAUAAUAAUUACUUUUUUUAUUGAAAGCUGGAAUGAAUGAUUUAAUGAAAAAAUAACUGUCUCUGAUUUAUUUAUAUAGAAUUUUAUUUUUUAGUUAACAAGCUUAAAUUUGAUUUAACGACGAGAAAACCCUAUACAGUUUGAUAUUUAUAUAUUUAUUAGUUUUAUUGAAUUUAUAUAUUUUUAUAUAUAUAAAUAUUUUAUUGGGGUGAUAAAAAAAUUUGCUAAGCUUUUUUAAUUUAUUACCAACUUUUAUUGAUUAUAUGAUCCUUAUUUUGGAUAAUUAGAUUAAAUUACCUCAAGGAUAACAGCGUAAUUUUUCUGUAGAGUUCUAAUCGAUAGAUAACAUUGCGACCUCAAUGUUGGAUCAAUAUAAAUUUUUAAUGCAAAAAUUACAAUAUUUAAUCUGUUCGACUUUUAAAAUCUUACAUGAUC
rnacentral:rRNA from 1 species